rnacentral:rRNA from 1 species
UACGUAGGGGGCUAGCGUUGUCCGGAAUCAUUGGGCGUAAAGCGCGUGUAGGCGGUCCGGUAAGUCCGCUGUGAAAGUCGGGGGCUCAACCCUCGAAUGCCGGUGGAUACUGUCAGACUAGAGUACGGAAGAGGCGAGUGGAAUUCCUGGUGUAGCGGUGAAAUGCGCAGAUAUCAGGAGGAACACCCGUGGCGAAGGCGGCUCUCUGGGACGGUAUUGACGCUGAGACGCGAAAGCGUGGGGAGCAAACAGG